AUAGCUUUGCGAUUCUUUGCGAGUGGCACUUUCCUUUACACUAUUGGAGAUGCAGAAUACCUGGGUAAAAAUGCUGUAUGUCGUGCCACUCGCAAAGUUUAUCUGUCACUCAAACAGUUUUUAGGGGGCUUUGUGGUAUUUCCAUGCCACUUAAGACCACAGGCUGUGAAGCAGAUUUUUUUUUGCCAUUGCAGGUACAUUAUAAUUGUUAAUGAAGAUCAUGGAAUCAUGAUCAUGCCAAAAAGUAGCCUAGGACUUACAGUAUUUGUUCCUCAGGCUUCCCUAAUGUUAUUUGUGCCAUAGACUGCACACAGGUCCCCAUCAAGGCCCCACCUGGCCCAAAUGAAGGGGAUUUUUUGAACAGAAAGGGAUUUCACAGUGUAAAUGUGCAAAUGGUGUGCGACUCCAUGUUCCACAUCACAAAUGUGGAAGCCACAUGGCCUGGUUCUGUGGGUGACUCCAGGAUUUUCAGAGAGUCACAUUUAUGCACAUUAUUUGAACGUGGUGCUGACGAUGGGAUCCUGUUCGGCGACAGGGGCUAUGCCUUCAGGCAGGCAGUACUUCAUGACGGCAUUCCCCAACCCAAACCCUGGACCACAAACCCGUUACAAUGCAGCUCUAGCCAGGACAAGGCCACGCAUUGAAAUGACCUUUGGCCAACUAAAGGAAGAUUUCAGUGUCUUAAGGGUCUGAGGGUUGCACCUGGAGAGGACCCCUGUGGUGGAGGUGCAACCUGAUGAUGACCUCCAGCCAGUGCACUUGGACCAAUAGUGGCAGAGCUGCACAGGACAGUA